ACUUUUAAAGGAUAGAAGUAAUCCAUUGGUC
rnacentral:tRNA from 1 species